ACCGGCACCGUGAGGUGGUGGGAUGGGAUGACAGAAAUCAGCAGACGCCAUAGUAGGUUUGUUACCGCAAACUGAAGGGC
rnacentral:ncRNA from 1 species